rnacentral:rRNA from 1 species
GAUGAACGCUGGCGGCGUGCCUAAUACAUGCAAGUCGAGCGAACGGACGAGAAGCUUGCUUUUCUGAUGUUAGCGGCGGACGGGUGAGUAACACGUGGAUAACCUACCUAUAAGACUGGGAUAACUUCGGGAAACCGGAGCUAAUACCGGAUAAUAUUUUGAACCGCAUGGUUCAUAAGUGAAAGACGGUCUUGCUGUCACUUAUAGAUGGAUCCGCGCUGCAUUAGCUAGUUGAUAAGGUAACGGCUUACCAAGGCAACGAUGCAUAGCCGACCUGAGAGGGUGAUCGGCCACACUGGAACUGAGACACGGUCCAGACUCCUACGGGAGGCAGCAGUAGGGAAUCUUCCGCAAUGGGCGAAAGCCUGACGGAGCAACGCCGCGUGAGUGAUGAAGGUCUUCGGAUCGUAAAACUCUGUUAUUAGGGAAGAACAUAUGUGUAAGUAACUGUGCACAUCUUGACGGUACCUAAUCAGAAAGCCACGGCUAACUACGUG